GGAAACCUGAAAAAUAUUGUUGAAUCUAAAAAUGGACGUAUGAGAUAUAUCUAUAUCACUAGGAGUAAAAGUUUUACUUAUGAUUCAACCUAUGAGUAAAACUUUUACUUCCAAUGACAUGGAUAAAUCUCAUUCGUUUACUUUUAGAUUGAACGGUAGUUUUCAUGUUUUU
rnacentral:pre_miRNA from 1 species